GACGAACGCUGGCGGCGUGCCUAAUACAUGCAAGUAGAACGCUGAAGGGGGAGCUUGCUUCUCCGGAUGAGUUGCGAACGGGUGAGUAACGCGUAGGUAACCUGCCUGGUAGCGGGGGAUAACUAUUGGAAACGAUAGCUAAUACCGCAUAAUAGUAGAUGUUGCAUGACAUUUGCUUAAAAGGUGCAAUUGCACCACUACCAGAUGGACCUGCGUUGUAUUAGCUAGUUGGUGGGGUAACGGCUCACCAAGGCGACGAUACAUAGCCGACCUGAGAGGGUGAUCGGCCACACUGGGACUGAGACACGGCCCAGACUCCUACGGGAGGCAGCAGUAGGGAAUCUUCGGCAAUGGACGGAAGUCUGACCGAGCAACGCCGCGUGAGUGAAGAAGGUUUUCGGAUCGUAAAGCUCUGUUGUAAGAGAAGAACGAGUGUGAGAGUGGAAAGUUCACACUGUGACGGUAUCUUACCAGAAAGGGACGGCUAACUACGUG
rnacentral:rRNA from 1 species